CCUGAGAAACCCAAAAGAUCGAAUGGGGAGAUUCAUCGUCAGCGAUUUUGGUACGUGUGCGGCUCGCGAUGCCGGAGACCUCGGUCCCCAGGCACGCGUCCGCAUGUUUUUUAUUGCCUCGAUCGUCGGCGUGCACUUCUCCCCUAGUAGGACGUCGCGACCCGUUGGGUGUCGGUCUACGGCCCGGGCGGUAGCCUGUCUCGUGUUCGCUUCGCGGCGUUACAGCGGUUCAGACCCCCGGUUGCCCGACCGGCUGCUCGGCGGUACUCGCACGGUAUCUGGCCGCAAAUAUUCGAACUGCGUCCGGCCCGUCGCAAGCGAGGCAAGUGCUUCCCGGUUGUACGGAUCUAAUGCCGUCACCGGGCCUUGCCAGCUGUUGGUUGACGGUGUCCUAGGACUGGCUAAUACAAUUAUGAUACCGGUCGGCGACGCUACUGCUUUGGGUACUUUCAGGACCCGUCUUGAAACACGGACCAAGGAGUCUAACAUGUGCGCGAGUCAUUGGGAACUAUUAAGCCUAAAGGCGCAAUGAAAGUGAAGGUCGGCCUUGCGCCGACCGAGGAAGGAUGGGCCGCGUCACGAUGCGGUCCCGCACUCCCGGGGCGUCUCGUUCU
rnacentral:rRNA from 1 species